GCAGUCGUGGCCGAGUGGUUAAGGCGAUGGACUGGAAAUCUAGUAAGGUCUCCCCUCACAAGUUCGAAUCCUGUCGACUGCG
rfam:Ixodes scapularis strain Wikel colony gcontig_1107728665348, whole genome shotgun sequence.